rnacentral:lncRNA from 1 species
UGAAUUUAAAGACUUCAACUUAUAUGCAUAAAUUAUUUGAAGACUUCAACUAUCAAACUUAGUGAAUUUGAAGACUUCAACUCAUAUCCAAGAAGCUUAUACUUCAUAGGGAUUUGACCCCAUUGAGUCACCAACAUUUGGUAUAAGUCUGAAGAUUGAUGAUGUUAAAAGUCUUUUGAAGACUAAAUUUUUUAUAUGAGGGGGAAUGUGUAUUUUUUUGACACUCAUACAAAUGAACUCAGAAUAAAAUUCCAAGCGCCUACGUACCUCAAUGAAGAGGAUCAAGUCACAACGUAGUUCUGGGGUGAGUGUUUUUUUUUUGCGUUCUAACUUUUGCCUAGGCUGCCUUUUUCGAGGUUUUCAACCUAGCGGACAUUUUUUUUGAGCCGUUUAUAGUUUAUACUCUUGCAGGCCAAGAGUACCAUCUUCCUUCAAGGAUAGUAUUUCUUCAAGAACUUGGCAUUGA